GACAGAGGGUGCAAACGUUGUUCGGAAUUACUGGGCGUAAAGCGCGUGUAGGCGGCACUACAAGUCGGAUGUGAAAUCCCGCGGCUUAACCGUGGAAGUGCACCCGAAACUGUAGAGCUAGAGUCCCGGAGAGGAUGGUGGAAUACUUGGUGUAGAGGUGAAAUUCGUAGAUAUCAAGUGGAACACCGGUGGCGAAGGCGGCCAUCUGGACGGUGACUGACGCUGGGACGCGAAAGCGUGGGUAGCAAACAGG
rnacentral:rRNA from 1 species